AAAGACCCCGUGAACCUUUACUAUAGCUUGACACUGAACAUUGAGCCUUGAUGUGUAGGAUAGGUGGGAGGCUUUGAAGUGUGGACGCCAGUCUGCAUGGAGCCGACCUUGAAAUACCACCCUUUAAUGUUUGAUGUUCUAACGUGGACCCGUGAUCCGGGUUGCGGACAGUGUCUGGUGGGUAGUUUGACUGGGGCGGUCUCCUCCUAAAGAGUAACGGAGGAGCACGAAGGUUGGCUAAUCCUGGUCGGACAUCAGGAGGUUAGUGCAAUGGCAUAAGCCAGCUUGACUGCGAGCGUGACGGCGCGAGCAGGUGCGAAAGCAGGUCAUAGUGAUCCGGUGGUUCUGAAUGGAAGGGCCAUCGCUCAACGGAUAAAAGGUACUCCGGGGAUAACAGGCUGAUACCGCCCAAGAGUUCAUAUCGACGGCGGUGUUUGGCACCUCGAUGUCGGCUCAUCACAUCCUGGGGCUGAAGUAGGUCCCAAGGGUAUGGCUGUUCGCCAUUUAAAGUGGUACGCGAGCUGGGUUUAGAACGUCGUGAGACAGUUCGGUCCCUAUCUGCCGUGGGCGCUGGAGAACUGAGGGGGGCUGCUCCUAGUACGAGAGGACCGGAGUGGACGCAUCACUGGUGUUCGGGUUGUCAUGCCAAUGGCACUGCCCGGUAGCUAAAUGCGGAAGAGAUAAGUGCUGAAAGCAUCUAAGCACGAAACUUGCCCCGA
rnacentral:rRNA from 1 species